CUACGGGGCGCAGCAGUAAGGAAUAUUGCACAAUGGGGGAAACCCUGAUGCAGCAACGCCGCGUGGACGAAGAAGGCCUUCGGGUCGUAAAGUCCUUUUCUGAGGGAAGAGGAAAGACGGUACCUCAGGAAUAAGUCUCGGCUAACUACGUGCCAGCAGCCGCGGUAAAACGUAGGAGGCGAGCGUUAUCCGGAUUCACUGGGCGUAAAGGGCAAGUAGGCGGUUGUUUAAGUUAGGUGUGACAUCUCUCGGCUUAACUGGGAGGGAGCGCUUAAAACUAGGCAACUAGAGGGCGGAAGAAGGGGGUAGAACUCCAAAUGUAGCGGUGGAAUGCUCAGAUAUUUGGAAGAAUACCAGUGGCGAAGGCGACCCCCCGGUCCGUGCCUGACGCUGAGAGGCGAAAGCUAGGGUAGCGAACGGGAUUAGAUACCCGCGUAGUC
rnacentral:rRNA from 1 species